UCUUUGAGGCGGCUGGUUAGUGGGGCGGUUGCUGGUGCGGUGUCGCGGACUGCUGUUGCUCCAUUGGAGACUGUCAGGACUCAUUUGAUGGUAGGCAGCAAUGGAAAUUCUUCCACGGAAGUCUUCGAUACAAUUAUGAAGACUGAAGGAUGGAAAGGGUUGUUCCGUGGCAAUUUUGUUAAUGUUAUUCGGGUUGCACCGAGCAAGGCUAUAGAGUUAUUUGCUUUUGAUACUGCUAAGAAGGUCUUGGCCCCCAAGUCAGGAGAACAACCAAAG
rnacentral:misc_RNA from 1 species